rnacentral:tRNA from 1 species
GGCUCCAUAGCUUGGGGUUAGUGCACUGACCUUAUAAAUCAGGGGCUGCAAGGUUAAAUCUUGUUGGGGUCU